rnacentral:rRNA from 1 species
GAUGAACGCUGGCGGCGUGCCUAAUACAUGCAAGUCGAGCGAACAGACGAGGAGCUUGCUCCUCUGACGUUAGCGGCGGACGGGUGAGUAACACGUGGAUAACCUACCUAUAAGACUGGGAUAACUUCGGGAAACCGGCGCUAAUACCGGAUAAUAUAUUGAACCGCAUGGUUCAAUAGUGAAAGACGGUUUUGCUGUCACUUAUAGAUGGAUCCGCGCCGCAUUAGCUAGUUGGUAAGGUAACGGCUUACCAAGGCAACGAUGCGUAGCCGACCUGAGAGGGUGAUCGGCCACACUGGAACUGAGACACGGUCCAGACUACUACGGGAGGCAGCAGUAGGGAAUCUUCCGCAAUGGGCGAAAGCCUGACGGAGCAACGCCGCGUGAGUGAUGAAGGUCUUCGGAUCGUAAAACUCUGUUAUUAGGGAAGAACAAAUGUGUAAGUAACUAUGCACGUCUUGACGGUACCUAAUCAGAAAGCCACGGCUAACUACGUG